rnacentral:rRNA from 1 species
UCCGGCAGCCAUAUCACCCUGGAGCCCAAGACCGGUUGCCCACUGAAGCUAAUCAGGGCUGAGCCUGGUCAGUACCUGGAUGGGAGACCUCCUGGGAAAACUAGGUUGCUGCUGGAA